rnacentral:tRNA from 1 species
GACUUCGUAGUGUAAUAGUAUCACCCUCGACGCGUAUUCGAGAGGUCCAGGUUCGAAUCCCGGCUAGGGCA